rnacentral:rRNA from 1 species
GAUAUUUUAGUACGAAAGGAUCAAAUAUUUAAAAUAAUUUUAUAAAAAUGAAUAUUAAUAAUAUAAUUUUAG